GACGAACGCUGGCGGCGUGCCUAACACAUGCAAGUCGAACGGGGUGAUAUCCUUCGGGAGAUCACUUAGUGGCGAACGGGUGAGUAACGCGUGAGAAACCUGCCUUUCAGUGGGGGACAACAGUUGGAAACGACUGCUAAUACCGCAUAACGCAUUUAGGGGGCAUCCCUUGAAUGCCAAAGCUUUAUGUGCUGAAAGAUGGUCUCGCGUCUGAUUAGCUAGUUGGUGGGGUAACGGCUCACCAAGGCGACGAUCAGUAGCCGGUCUGAGAGGAUGAACGGCCACAUUGGGACUGAGAUACGGCCCAGACUCCUACGGGAGGCAGCAGUGGGGAAUAUUGGGCAAUGGGGGGAAACCCUGACCCAGCAACGCCGCGUGAAGGAAGAAGGCCUGGUUGUAACGUUCUUUUAGUCUAGGGACGAAGUACGUGACGGUA
rnacentral:rRNA from 1 species